UACGGAGGGAGCGAGCGUUGUCCGCAGUUACUGGGCGUAAAGCGCGCGUAGGCGGGAAAUUAAGUGAGAAGUGAAAGGCUGGGGCUUAACCCCAUGCAGUGCUCCUCAUACUGGUUUUCUUGAGGGUGGUAGAGAGAAGUGGAAUGGCUGGUGUAGCGGUGAAAUGCGUAGAUAUCAGUCGGAACACCAGUGGCGAAGGCGGCUUCUUGGGCCAUUACUGACGCUGAGGCGCGAAAGCCAGGGGAGCGAACGGG
rnacentral:rRNA from 1 species